rnacentral:rRNA from 1 species
UUAUGGCUCAGGAUGAACGCUGGCGGCGUGCUUAACACAUGCAAGUCGAACGAACCUUCGGGUUAGUGGCGGACGGGUGAGUAACGCGUGGGAAUCUGCCCUCAGGAGGGGGAUAACGGCCGGAAACGGCCGCUAAUACCCCAUAUGCCGAGAGGUGAAAUGAAUUUCGCAUGAGGAUGAGCCCGCGUAUGAUUAGAUAGUUGGUGAGGUAAGAGCUCACCAAGGCAUCGAUCAGUAGAUGGUAUGAGAGGAUGAUCAGCCACACUGGGAAUGAGACACGGCCCAGACUCAUACGGGAGGCAGCAGUGGGGAAUUUUCCGCAAUGGGCGAAAGCCUGACGGAGCAACGCCGCGUGAGGGAUGAAGGCCUCUGGGCUGUAAACCUCUUUUAUCAAGGAAGAAGAUCUGACGGUACUUGAUGAAUAAACCGCGGCUAAUUCCGUGC